rnacentral:rRNA from 1 species
CCCAGACUCCUACGGGAGGCAGCAGUGGGGGAUAUUGCACAAUGGGGGGAACCCUGAUGCAGCGACGCCGCGUGGGCGAUGGAGUGCUUCGGCAUGUAAAGCCCUAUCAGCAGGGAAGAAAAUGACGGUACCUGACUAAGAAGCCCCGGCUAAAUACGUGCCAGCAGCCGCGGUAAUACGUAUGGGGCAAGCGUUAUCCGGAUUUACUGGGUGUAAAGGGAGCGUAGGCGGCCUGGCAAGCCUGAUGUGAAAUACCGGGGCCCAACCCCGGGGCUGCAUUGGGAACUGCCAGGCUGGAGUGCCGGAGAGGCAGGCGGAAUUCCUAGUGUAGCGGUGAAAUGCGUAGAUAUUAGGAGGGACACCAGUGGCGAAGGCGGCUUACUGGACUGUAACUGACGUUGAGGCUCGAAAGCGUGGGGAGCAAACAGGAUUAGAUACCCGCGUA